rnacentral:rRNA from 1 species
AACGAACGCUGGCGGCAUGCCUAACACAUGCAAGUCGAACGAAGCCUUCGGGCUUAGUGGCGCACGGGUGCGUAACGCGUGGGAAUCUGCCCUUGGGUUCGGAAUAACAGUUAGAAAUGACUGCUAAUACCGGAUGAUGUCUUUGGACCACAGAUUUAUCGCCCAAGGAUGAGCCCGCGUAGGAUUAGGUAGUUGGGGGGGUAAUGGCCCACCAAGCCGACGAUCCUUAGCUGGUCUGAGAGGAUGAUCAGCCACACUAGGACUGAGACACGGCCCAGACUCCUACGGGAGGCAGCAGUGGGGAAUAUUGGACAAUGGGCGAAAGCCUGAUCCAGCAAUGCCGCGUGAGUGAUGAAGGCCUUAGGGUUGUAAAGCUCUUUUACCAGGGAUGAUAAUGACAGUACCUGGAGAAUAAGCUCCGGCUAACUCCGUGCCAGCAGCCGCGGUAA